AUGAGCGAGUGCCAGUCUCCUGCUUGGACACAGUGAAUGUCCUUAAGCCUCAACAAAAUGACUAACGUGUCUUUAAAGUUUCUCUUAGAAGGGUCACCACAUUCUGAGGAAGUUCAAAGAAUAUAAAAUCGAACGUUGGGGGAGGAAAUCGGCUGGCUACAUUUUGCUCUGGUGUUUUCAGGCUGGCGAUGGGCAUUUAGCGCAUUAAUUACGCAAGACCCGCUACAUUUUAAAAGUCAUUUGAAGAUUUGGGGAAGAGAUCCAAAGUGUUGCGAGACCGACGGCCUUUCGUGUUGAAUCAAGACGCCUUCCACUCACAGAAGUGCUUCUGACCUAAGUGGAAAUUGAAUUCAGGCCCAGGAGCAGGUAAGAGUGCCUGGUCUGGGGCGUGGGGAGUCUUAGGGGGUUCUUUCUCCAUGGGUUUUGAGAGCAAAGUUGCCCUUCGGAGAGCACGACGCGGUGAACGCUGGUGUGACAGACCGAGCCCGGGAGGCCACAUCACAAACACAUGCCGGCCAGAAAUCCUUAUUAAUGUCACUGAGAUCACUUCAAAUUUAUGGUAUCGACAGCGAUGCGAAUAAUGAUCGCACAAGGGCCGUAAUGGCAGCACCCGGCAAAGAGGGUCUGUUUUCUUCAUCUGGAUUUUUAUUUUCUGUAAUACGUGAGAAAACCGAAUCGAGGGAUGGGCUUUCGUGGUUGCCAGGAAACAGGUGUUUACGUUGUGAAGAUAAGUGUUUGUCAAAUAUCAGUCAUUUCAACCACCCUUUGGGCAUCUUCCGCUCCGCAGAGGUGCCCGCUGAUAAUGGCCCGCUGAUCUGCCAGCAACAUCACGCAGAGAAGUUUCUGGCGAGGGUUCCUUUCUGUCGCAUAUAGAUGUCCAGGCCUCUGUCAACUCUGCACCAGCCAAAGCCCUGAAACGAUUCGGGGGAAGUCAAUAUUCCAAGAAAGGCUUUUCCUCAGAAGAAAACCCGGUUUCACACCUGGGUCGAGGAUCUCUGUCAGGACGAGCCCUCUCGGUCUUUCCACCGAGAGGGAGCCGCUUGCCAGAAAAAGCGAAUUAACUGCGUUAAGCUUCGAAAAGGAAAAUUAAGUGGGCUUUAGCAUUUUUUCAACCUGUUUUCUGUUACCUGGGAACACCUUUUAAGGGAAGUUGAAAACACUGCAGUUCUUCAAAACCUAAGUGGAAAAUUGGGGUAGAAACUAUCUUCAGCCAUGGAACAACUGCUGUCUCAGAAAGUCUCUAACGUCCAUAAUUCUAUUGAGUAAAUGCCAAGAAACACCCAGCAAUUGUCAAGAUUAACUGGUAAAUCAAUCCUGUUUGGAAAAAUCACUGAAACGCCUAUUGCCAGGCAUCUGACCCUCUCCUACCCAAUGUGUUGCUGAUGUGGGGUUGUCCACACGGCCUUGGGGUCCCCAAACCUUAAGUCAACUAGGACUACAAGCUGAUUAGCGCCCAGCAGGAUGCACACCAGUGACAGGAAAGUGACAAUCUGCACAGAAUUCACUUACGCUUCGAGAGAACAGAGACUGAGAGGCGUGCCCUGACCACUGGGCAGGAAAGACAGGGAUCAUGUCUCCACUAGCCUCAGAUGUCAACUACGAUCAGCUUCUAGUUUCCAAAGUAACAAAAUAAAUGAUUAAUUAACACUUAGAUGUCACCAUGUACUUUUCGCAUUUAGAAAUCUGCGUAGCUUGCCGAUCCAAAAAAACGUUACGGACACCUUUAAAUGGAAAUGUCCAGGUACCGCCUUCUCAAAUAUUUAUAGUCUUGCAAGCUUUUCAUGUCCCUUAGAGACUGAUCAGCGGUCCUUUAACCAGCAUCAAAUACAUCAUGAGAAAAGAAAUAAAAACAAAAGACGCAAAUGAGACCGAGAAAAGCAGAACUUAGAAGCUGUCUGUCUGUCUGAUUCUCGGACGGUUGCCUAGGCAGUUUUAUUAUUUUAGAAACCAUACGAAAGAACUGUGUAUUAGUUAACUUAUUCAUUCUGUUGAGAAAUGGCCCCAGCCAGUGGCUGUCUCACGGCGUCAGGGAAAGCCGGGUCAUCAUUCCCCCGCACAGGACGGCGGGGGGGGGCAGGCUGUCCGCGCAGAGCCGGGGGCUUCUCCUGGGGUCCUCACCGGUGGGCUCUCGGUGCCUCUCUCGGCUGCUUUAUUCACCAAGAAGAGCGCGAUGUGGGGUCGAGGCAGCGACGUUGUCCCAGUAGGAGCACGAAACCUUCCACAUUUCCACCGCCCAGAGCUCCGCGUGAGCUGGCUGGGAGCCGAAAGCCGAGUGGCCCCGCAGGGUGACGUGUCUGCGGAGGGACAGCGAGCCUGCCCCCGGAGCGCGUGCGUGCACCUGCAGCCUCACUGCGGGCAGCGACGGGGAGCCCUGCCCCGCCCGGCACCCGGGCACCAGGAUCGUGUGUUCGGCUGCAGUCCUAGCCUCACCUAGCCGGACUUUCCCCGGGGCCCGGCUGCCCGCUGCAUCACCAUAGCAAUGGACAAACACGGUGAGAGUCUGCAGGCCCCGCAGCUGCGGAAACCCUGCCCUCCUGGCCGCCCCGCGGGAGGGGCCGGGCUAAUUUCCAUGCGGCGUUUGGGGAUGUUGGGAUUCAGAGAUCAAAGAAGGUCAAAAGGGGGCCGUUGGAAUGGCAGAUAUUUAUUGUGUUUAAUAUAAAUACAAACGUGUCCAAGAAGAGAAACUGAAACCUUAACAGGCCUGUGGAUGGCGUUUGGUAAAUAGAAAAGAACACAUCUUGAAAGCAGGCGGCUGGUGAAAUUGCCUGGCACUGCAGAAGCUGUCGCGAUUUAAACUGGGACAAAUUAAGACAGCAACAAUCUUCACCGACAUCGAACAUACACAUUAGUUGAAAACCUUGAGGAAGACGUCUAGCUGCACUUGAGAAACGCUUUGGGAAACCUUCUGGCCACAAAUGCAAACACAGCCCAGCGCACUUUAGAAAUUUCUGGUCGCCCUCCUUAGCUGCGCUCGUUGUAUUAUUAAGAGUGUUUGCUUCAUACCAUUAACUGUGCAGUCAAGUUGGAGCCCGUUAAACAGCAUUAAUUUGACAAAUUGUGGGAUGGGGGUGUGAGUGCCGGCUGGAGAAAGGGGCUUUGUGUUUCGGGGUCUCCAUUAGUGAAACAAUAAAUAAGGCUAUGGUAAAACUGAUAUGAUGGGAAAUGACUUCUAUUCAGUUAACUCAAUUAUUAGUGCUAAUUGGGGCCAGGUGAAGCAUGGAUAAUUGAAAUUCACAGAUAAUCCAAAAACCUCUAUUUAACCAAUAACUUCAAACUUCUUCCCCAUCAAACCAAUUACCAGAGGAGCUAACAAAUAGAAAAAAUGGAUUAAAUUGAAUUUUGCCUCCCCAAAGAUUACCACUAUGAUGUCUUUCUAUUGAUUAAUCCACAACAAGAGCCAAGGGUUGACUGCAUUCAAGAGACUAAAUUACAGACAGUCCCCAACAAUUGAAAAGGAAAAGGCUAUGUCCCAAAGUUGAUGACUCCACUACCUGAAGCUCAGAAUGCUUUUUCGCAGAGCACCAUAUUCCUCAGGGGCUCUGAGGCAGCCCCGAGGGGCCAACUGGUGACCUAGUGACACUGGAAAUAUAUUUAGCAUCCUAACUCCUUUAAUGAAUCCCCUCUGAAUCCUAAAGCCUUAUCCUCCAGCCCCUAAAUCUCUCUGAGCCCUAAAUCUAAGGGGUUUUUUUUAGUUGAGGUAAAUUCACAUAAGGUUAACAACCAUUGUGAGUUGAGUGUGCACGUCAGUGACAUCUAGAACAUUCACGAGGCUGUGCGACCACCCGCCUCUAUCAACUGUCUCAACAUUUUCAUCGCCCCCGAGAGAAACCCCUUUGGGACCCUCAGCAGCCACUGCCCGUUGUCCCCUCCCCCCAGCCCCUGGCGACCGCAGAUCGCCUCACUGGAGCUGUGGGUUCCCCUGUUCUGGACAUUCCAUGUCAACGGAAUCAUGCAACAUGUGGUCUUUCGUGUCUGGCUUCUUUCACUGACAUAAUCUAUUUAAGGUUCAUCCGUGUGAUCGCAUGUGUGAGGACGUCGUUCCCUUUUAUCGCCAAAUGACUCUCCGUGGUCUGGACGGACCACACGUUCUUGACCCACCUGUCAGCUGAUGGACGCUUGGGUUGUCUCCAUCUCGCGGCCACGUGCAACCGUCACCCCUAAGGUUGCACCCUGACAUGCCCUGCCCUCGGAGGAAAUGGGAAGUGGAGGGGGAAGGGUGGACAGAAGCUUGGGAAGCAGGGGGGCCCUUGUGGCGGAGCAUGGGGAGGCUCCUCCCGUGCGCCGGGCCGCGGCACUCCCAGGCGCUGGCAUCUGGGGCGGGCAUCCCUCCCACGGGGCUGCCGUCGGCAGGGACAUUCCGCUAGAAGCAUCGACAGUGAGGGAUAAUUCGAGACAGUGUCAACCAUGGUGGAGAACACAGGGAGACAUGGAACCCGUCAGAGAGGGGCACGAGGGAGGCCAGAGGAGGCCCGCUGGGGGCAGGUACCUCCUUCAGAUUCGGGUGUCGCUGGUUCCCGAGACGGAGAGCAGAACUGGACUGACCCAGCGAGAAAUCUGGCAAGUGUCGUUGGCCUGUUCUCCGCUUUUCUGAAAACACAGGCGCCAGGAGAGGUUUCCAUAGCAGCUUCCAAAUCGGACACCAAACUUCACUCAGCAGGUAAUUCUGUUCCCCCAGCGCGUGACCUGGGUGUCCCCGUGCCCAUCAAACCCACACCUCACGCAGAGUCCUCCUGCCUUAGAGCGCUACGCCUCCACGCUGCGCCCACCCUCUGCCUCCCUCUGCACCCUGCAUCCUUGCCAGGACGGGGGAGGCUGGCCGGCGGCCACAGCACAUUCCAGAAGGCCAAAUGCAAGGUCUUCCCUGGCUUCCGUGGUGUGCGCUUGGCAUUUUUCAACGACUUCUGUUGGCCAGUGUUCUUUAUGGUAGAACAGGAUGAGCUACAUCAUUUCUGGCUGUGCAAUUUGACAGCUGUCUGUAUGUGAUUUAUAUAUACAAGCGUGUCUAGAGAGAGCGACAUAUAUGUGCACAUGUGUGUGCCCAUGCGCACAAACGUAAUUUUGUGAUGACGGUUAUAUUUAUCCCUGUUUGCUUUACUUAUUCCAUAGACUUCAUUGUAAAUUCAAAAAAGAAAAUUGGUCCAAAAUCCAAUCACACCGGCACAUUAACACUGAGUUUUUCAUAUUUCCUUUCUGUUGUUGUCACAGGACAUUGAUAGUUUUCCAUUUCUCCUUUUCCACGUUUCGUCACUUUUCUUGGCGUCCUACAGUUUGUAAAAGGUACAGAUGGCGGCCGCCAUGCUUGCGGGCGCUGAAGGACCCGGUCAAGGUAAGGACGGCCCCUGCUGGGUCUGCUCAGUCCCAGCCAGGUUGCAGGAGGAGUCGGGGGGCAGCCAAGGGGUGCCCCCAGAUGUGCGCCUGCCUUUCUCGUACAGUGAGUCAAGUGCUGUAGAUGCCAGGGGCCCCAGCUUCCUCAUGACAGUGGCCAGGCCGGUGGGGGAGCCCCUGGUGUCCCCUCCAUUUUCUUAGUGACACAGUGGGCAGAGACCAGUCCCUCUGCCCCUGCAGGGACGCCUGUGUUUCUAAAGUGCACGGGGCUGAGUUCCAACUCACUGCCUCCCGGAGCCUCCAGGGUUCCAGACCCCCUUCCGGUCUUACGCGCAGGUCGUCCCUGGUUCGCCCUCUGUCGGGACUGGGAGGGACAGUGCGGCGGGACACUUGGGACAAAUAGUUAGCAGGCCGAUCCUGGAGGGCCUGGCUCCUGCCCUCCUCAGUUACCUGCCUUGCCGUUGGCCCACGCGGACCCUGAGCCAACCGGCCCCUUUCUGAAGCCCAAACCAGGUCCUGGGAGCCGUGGACAAGUCUGUCCCCUGGACAGACUGCAGACCCAAGCUCCGCUUCUGGGCGGCCCCAAACGGCCGUGGUCAUCGUUUGUUUCUGCUUCUUCGCCCACCUCGCUGAAUCUCCGUCAGUCUCCAGAGAAGUCUCCGUGCCUUCCCCAGUUCCACCAUCCUGCCCAAUGACGCGUCUGCAGGUGACACGCUGGCACGUUGUUAACAGGAACAGAGUUAACACCAACUUUUACUCUCCUCUCUCCUCCUCCGAAUCACCUGCCUUUCUCUCCCGGCCUUGAGGGGCGGCGCACCCCUCUACUGCUGAGCUGGAAAACCGGCCACAAGGACCGGGGAGGGCGUCCCAAAGCCCCUGAGCGCCCGGCGCCUCCUUACCCCGCGAUCCGGCUGCGGAGACCGCACUACCGCGUGAACCGUGUGGCGGACGGACGGCAGGUGCUAAGGAGGAGGUUCACGCAGGAAGUGUGCAUGGGUGCGCGGGAUGCCCCUCAGAACACACGCGCGUGCACCCCGAAGAUGACACCCAGGCCGCUGACCCAGGAGCAGCUUCUACUGCCUUCCUUGUGCCCUCGUCCGUUUCCCGUACUUUCCGCGAGCAACACAUGAACACACGGCGACUUUUAGCGAGCACUGAGCUAAGAGCUGUAGUGCCUUGGCUCGCUUAACUUUUCCAGCUGCUCUGAGGAUUGUCCCCUUACGACCCCUGUCUUAUAGACAAGGGAGCUGAUGCUUUGAGCGCCCAAGAGGCCUCUGGAGCCGGCCGGCCCCCCAGUGCUCUCACACCUGUGGCUGUGAAGCGGGAGCGGGUCCCCAUGGCCAGGGCUGGCGGGACGUACACCCGGAAGAACUGAAGGAGGCGGGAUGGGUGGCAGCAGAAGGUGGGCUGAAGAGCGAGCCCUCACACGGACCGUCACUGGAAGUGGGCGGCGUCUAGGGGGCCUUCGUAAGCUUGCGGGGCAGGUCCUUCCAGGCGAGGCGACUCUGGGAGGCGUCCUCAGCUGUAGGCUGUCACCACCCUGGAGGGGUGAGGGGUGAGGGGU